rnacentral:rRNA from 1 species
AUUGAACGCUGGCGGCAGGCCUAACACAUGCAAGUCGAGCGGAUGAAGGGAGCUUGCUCCUGGAUUCAGCGGCGGACGGGUGAGUAAUGCCUAGGAAUCUGCCUGGUAGUGGGGGAUAACGUCCGGAAACGGGCGCUAAUACCGCAUACGUCCUGAGGGAGAAAGUGGGGGAUCUUCGGACCUCACGCUAUCAGAUGAGCCUAGGUCGGAUUAGCUAGUUGGUGGGGUAAAGGCCUACCAAGGCGACGAUCCGUAACUGGUCUGAGAGGAUGAUCAGUCACACUGGAACUGAGACACGGUCCAGACUCCUACGGGAGGCGGCAGUGGGGAAUAUUGGACAAUGGGCGAAAGCCUGAUCCAGCCAUGCCGCGUGUGUGAAGAAGGUCUUCGGAUUGUAAAGCACUUUAAGUUGGGAGGAAGGGCAGUAAGUUAAUACCUUGCUGUUUUGACGUUACCAACAGAAUAAGCACUGGCUAACUUCGUG